GCGUCCGUGGUCUAGUGGUUAGGACUGGAGCCCUCCAAGCUCCAUACGUGGGUUCGAAUCCCACCGGACGCA
rnacentral:tRNA from 1 species